GUGCUUGCUUCGGCACAUACACUAAAAUUAGAACCAUACAGAGACGAUUAACAUGGCCCUAUGCAAGAAUGACACCCACAUUCGUGAGACAGUCCGUAUUUUU
ensembl:snRNA U6 U6 spliceosomal RNA